AUGAACGCUAGCUACAGGCUUAACACAUGCAAGUCGAGGGGCAGCAUGAACUUAGCUUGCUAAGUUUGAUGGCGACCGGCGCACGGGUGAGUAACACGUAUCCAACCUGCCGAUGACUCGGGGAUAGCCUUUCGAAAGAAAGAUUAAUACCCGAUGGCAUAGUUCUUCCGCAUGGUAGAACUAUUAAAGGAUUUCGGUCAUCGAUGGGGAUGCGUUCCAUUAGGUUGUUGGCGGGGUAACGGCCCACCAAGCCUUCGAUGGAUAGGGGUUCUGAGAGGAAGGUCCCCCACAUUGGAACUGAGACACGGUCCAAACUCCUACGGGAGGCAGCAGUGAGGAAUAUUGGUCAAUGGACGAGAGUCUGAACCAGCCAAGUAGCGUGAAGGAUGACUGCCCUAUGGGUUGUAAACUUCUUUUAUACGGGAAUAAAGUGAGGCACGUGUGCCUUUUUGUAUGUACCGUAUGAAUAAGGAUCGGCUAACUCCGUGCCAGCAGCCGCGGUAAUACGGAGGAUCCGAGCGUUAUCCGGAUUUAUUGGGUUUAAAGGGAGCGUAGGCGGACGCUUAAGUCAGUUGUGAAAGUUUGCGGCUCAACCGUAAAAUUGCAGUUGAUACUGGGUGUCUUGAGUACAGUAGAGGCAGGCGGAAUUCGUGGUGUAGCGGUGAAAUGCUUAGAUAUCACGAAGAACUCCGAUUGCGAAGGCAGCCUGCUGGACUGUAACUGACGCUGAUGCUCGAAAGUGUGGGUAUCAAACAGGAUUAGAUACCCUGGUAGUCCACACAGUAAACGAUGAAUACUCGCUGUUUGCGAUAUACAGUAAGCGGCCAAGCGAAAGCGUUAAGUAUUCCACCUGGGGAGUACGCCGGCAACGGUGAAACUCAAAGGAAUUGACGGGGGCCCGCACAAGCGGUGGAGUAUGUGGUUUAAUUCGAAGCAACGCGAAGAACCUUACCAGGUCUUGACAUCCGAUGCAUAGCACAGAGAUGUGUGAAAUCCUUCGGGACAUCGAGACAGGUGGUGCAUGGUUGUCGUCAGCUCGUGUCGUGAGAUGUUGGGUUAAGUCCCGCAACGAGCGCAACCCCUGUACUUAGUUGCCAGCAUGUAGAGAUGGGAACUCUAAGUAGACUGCCGCGAAUAACGCGGAGGAAGGUGGGGAUGACGUCAAAUCAUCAUGCCCCUUAUGACCUGGGCUACACACGUGCUACAAUGGCAUAUACAAAGAGAAGCGACCUCGCGAGAGCAAGCGGACCUCAUAAAGUAUGUCGUAGUCCGGAUUGGAGUCUGCAACUCGACUCCAUGAAGUCGGAAUCGCUAGUAAUCGUGGAUCAGAAUGCCACGGUGAAUACGUUCCCGGGCCUUGUACACACCGCCCGUCACACCAUGAGAGUUGGGGAUACCCGAAGCCUGUGAGCCAACAGUUAAAUGAGGCAGCAGUCGAAGGUAGAAUCAAUGAUUGGGGUG
rnacentral:rRNA from 1 species